AUACCUUUCUCGCCCUUUUGGCUAAGAUCAAGUGUAUUAUUUGUUCUUAACAGUUUAAUAUCUGAUAUGUGGACCAAUGGUCCACAUGAUAUUAAAUUUAUUUCUUCAGGGGGAGAGUCCACUACAAUAGCUUGCUAUUGGGUCUCUCAAAUGUCGCCUUUUGUUGAACUAUUGCAUUGGCUUGGCGCACCCCAC
rnacentral:snRNA from 1 species